UCGCACGAGAAAGGGAGCAAUCCUAAGUAAAGUGGCGCACGGGUGAGUAACACGUGGAUCAUCUACCUUUUAGUGGGGAAUACCUCUGGGAAACCGGAGACAAUACCGCAUAAGCCCGCAAGGGGAAAGCAGCAAUGCGCUGAAAGAGGAGUCCGCGGCCGAUUAGCUAGUUGGCGGGGUAACGGCCCACCAAGGCGAAGAUCGGUAGCCGGCCUGAGAGGGCACACGGCCACACUGGCACUGAAACACGGGCCAGACUCCUACGGGAGGCAGCAGUGGGGAAUCUUGCACAAUGGGCGAAAGCCUGAUGCAGCGACGCCGCGUGAGCGAUGAAGCCCUUCGGGGUGUAAAGCUCUUUCGACGGGAACGAUAAUGACGGUACCCGGAGAAGAAGCUGCGGCUAACUACGUGCCAGCAGCCGCGGUAAUACGUAGGCAGCGAGCGUUGUUCGGAAUUACUGGGCGUAAAGAGUGUGUAGGCGGUGUUCCCAGUCUGUUGUGAAAUCUCCCGGCUUAACUGGGAGGGUGCAGCGGAAACUAGAAUGCUAGAGGGUGGGAGAGGUAAGCGGAAUUCCUGGUGUAGCGGUGAAAUGCGUAGAUAUCAGGAGGAACACCUGUGGUGUAGACAGCUUACUGGACCACUUCUGACGCUGAGACACGAAAGCGUGGGUAGCAAACAGGAUUAGAUACCCUGGUAGUCCACGCCCUAAACGAUGCAUACUUUGGUGUGAGCGAUUCAUUUCGUUCGUGCCGGAGCUAACGCGUUAAGUAUGC
rnacentral:rRNA from 1 species